UACGUAGGAUCCAAGCGUUGUCCGGAUUUACUGGGCGUAAAGGGCUCGUAGGCGGCCAACUAAGUCAGACGUGAAAUCCCUCGGCUUAACCGGGGAACUGCGUCUGAUACUGGAUGGCUUGAGAUUGGGAGAGGGAUGCGGAAUUCCAGGUGUAGCGGUGAAAUGCGUAGAUAUCUGGAGGAACACCGGUGGCGAAGGCGGCAUCCUGGACCAACACUGACGCUGAGGAGCGAAAGCCAGGGGAGCAAACGGG
rnacentral:rRNA from 1 species